AUUUAUUGUAAAUAUGUUUUUUCUAAUUAAGGGGUUAGGUUGGGCGUCAAAAAAGUAUGUUAAUAAAAAAAAAACUAUUAAUGAGAAAACUAUCAGUAUUCUUAAAUGUUGAUGCAAAUUGAUGGAUUCAGUGUACAACAACAACAAAAAAAUCCAUCACAAACUGACAUACAUUCAGUUAAAAAUCCACUUGAUAUAACACAUGAAAAAUUAACAAACAGUGAACAUGAACAUGGUGUAUCAAAAAUAAUAAUCAAAAUUUAUUAAAUGAUGGUGAAUGGCACAGAUUGGAUGUUACAUGGAAUCUUUAUAAUAUUGAAUUAAUUGUUGACAUGUGUAAAAAUGACGAAUCAUUAUGCUACGAAACUGCUCCAGUUCCAUUGUCAAAUGAUUAUUAUUUAAGUAUAAAUGGACCAGUACAAAUUGGUGGUUUCAAUAUUUUAAGUAAUUCAAUUGAACAACACAAAUAGAAAAAAUCACCAAAAGGUAUUGGUUUUGAUGGUUGUAUUAAAAAUAUAAUUUACAAUAUGGCUAAGUGAAAUUAAAGUUAAUGAUGGACAAUAUCCAUAUGGCAUACUGUCAAAGUAUGAAGAUAUGGUUCUGCUUGUAUGACUGAACUUUAUGGUGGUGAAGGAAUAAGAUUCAAUGAAACAAUAAUAUUUAAAGGACAACAAAAUUUUAUUAUUGAUAAAAAUGAUGGUGUUUAGAUUGGUAGUGUUGAGCCAUCUGGUACAUAUGAUUUUUUUGUAUUUGUUGAGUUUUUCAAUUUAGUGUUCAAAUUUUCAUUUAAAUGAACGUUGCAUUUAUUGUUAAGUGCGUGAAUCAUGGAAAAAUCAGGGAGACUGGAUUUAUAAUUUUAAAUAAAAAAGUGAUAAUGUAUUUGUAAUGACACAGCCAAGAUCAGGUACAACAGUGACAACUGAAAUGACAUGGCUAUUGAUAAACAAUUUAGACUAUGAAAAUGCUAAAAAAAUACGUCUUGAAGAACGAGUUUUUGAGCAAGAAUUGGGCCUGUAUGACAACAGAUGGUCUGAAGCAAAAGUUGCAAUUCGAAAUGAAAAUGAUCCAACAUCUUGGAUUCAUCUGUUAAAUGUAAAAAUAUUAGAAAUUAUUAUGAUGCACAUGUAAAUACAAGUGGGCCAAGAAUUAUUAAAACCCAUUUGGCAUUUAGUUUACAUAAAAAUAUUUUCCGGUGCUAAGAUAAAUUAUAUCGUACGAGAUCCAAAAGAUCUGAGUAAUGAGUUCAUUUCGUGGUGGCGUUUUUCAAAUAAUGCUUAUCAGCCCAUUCAGAAACGUAAACUUGACGAAAAAAAUUUACGAAAUCAAAUUUACAUUGUUGUAAUUUAAAGCUAAGUAUAAAUAUUAUUUUGAAUAGUUAGUCUUGGACCAUAUUGGCCACAUGUAAAAAAGGCUGGAAUUUGCGAAAUAAUAAGAACGUUUUAUUUUUAUUUUAUGAAGAUAUUAAAAUGAAUCUUUUCGAAACUAUUAAAAAAGUUUCACAUUUUUUUGGAUAAAACACAUUUGGAUGAAGAAAUUUAGAGUCUUGUUUGUCAUUUGGAUAUUGAUAAAUUUCGAAUUCAAUGGUUAAUUCAGUUGCUGGUUUACCAACCCUUAGAGCAUGUUUCAUUGGUCAAGGUAAAA